rnacentral:lncRNA from 1 species
GUUCACCGGCCCGGCCCCGGCGCUCGCAGGGGUCGAGGUGCUCCGGAGCCCAGGCAGCUGGACUUCCCGUCUCCAUCGCGGCGCGCCCCUCCCACCUCGGCCCGGCCCCUUCCCGCCCAGGUCCCGGACUCACGAUGCACUCGCGGACCCUGUCGUGGAACAGCUGUUCUCGCACGGAUAGCACUUCGUAGUCAGCUGCUUCCAUACUCUGCUCAGCAUGACUGGGGCGGGGGUGUCUCCGGGCCCGGGGAGGACGAGCGGGGAUGAGGCCGCCGCCGCCCGCCAAGCACCCGGACCCAGCCUAAGCGCCUCUCCUCGCUGCCCGUGACGGAAACUCAAGGCCGCCGCCCGGCUACGCGGAAGUGCCAGGCUUGGUGCCCAGUGACGACACAAGGCCUGGGCGGGUUUCUUCAGAGGAGCGGAACUUACUGGUUCCUCGUAGACUGUCGGUCAUCGCUAGGAGUGCGCUGAUAGGACAUUCUGGGAAAGGAGGCGGGAUGUUUUUGGCCUGUCGAAGCUGUUCUAAAACUAAGAGUCCUUGUGGUCCACGGCUGAGAUGUGAGGGUUGGUUCCAGGAUGUGUAUCCGUCAGGAUUUUAGUUUAAACGAAUAAGGUUGGGAUCAGGUCAGCCCGUCGAGAAGAUGUAAGCACCACGGGGUCUUCUGAAGGGACGGCUGCCUGUAACCCAAAGGUCUUGCGAUGCAAACCAGGCUACCCUUGAAUUCUCAGCUUCCUAGUUGAUUGCAUGUAUUACCAGGCCCAGGCUAUCCCGAAACUGAGGAAAUAUCCCAGGGAAUAUUGGUACAGAGCUCUGCUGUUCUACAUAUGUCCUGAUUCAGCAAGGGAUUAUCAACUGCCGAGAUCCGAUUUCUGUUCCCUCAAAACACUUCACUGUCAUCAUCUGAUACCACACAAAUUUCUAUAUCGAGAUAGUCGACCUUCUUGCUUUUGGAUAACUAAGGAUCUGCGCGCGUGCCCGAAAAGCAGCAAGCAAGGGAAGGAUGGGGGAAGGGCCCGAGCGGGAAGAGUGCAAUCUGAACGCGCCAUGCUGCACGUUCCGUGCAGGGUGUGAUAAUUGGAGACCGGGUUCCAGUAAGAUCCGAGUGCGCCCCUUUUCCCCAAACCAGGGACGCCCCCAGCAGCAUGGGCCCCAAGCUUUCUCGCACUCGCCCCCCUCGAUCACAGCCCCGAGCGAGCUUCUUCCUCCCCUCCAUCACUCCUCCGCCCCACACACCGAUCCCCACUCACCAUGAUAGCAACGGGUUAGAAGGCGAGGGUGAGAGAUAGAAGCAGACACCGGGUCUCGGUUACCGUUCCCGACAACUAAGAGUCGAGGCAUAUUCACGUGGCCACGCUGGAUGAGAUGUGGAUCAGUGACAACCCUGAGCACAAGGCAACCCUAAGUCACAUGCUAACAGUGGAGGAAGACAGAACAUAGGUCCCUGUGACAAUGCUCAGCUACAGAAGCCUUGGCCUGCUGCAUUGGCCGAGCACAUUUGUAAUAAAUUCAGAGUCACCAACACUGUAUCGGUGACACAAUAGGAAAAGGAGUCAAAGCCUUUCCGCUUGGUGACAUUUAACCACAAGUGAGCCCAGACUUUUGAAUUCUCUGCUCGGCUCUUCCUGUGUCUCCUGUGUCCUCUGUCCGUCCUGAGUGCUGUCCCAUGUCUGUGUGUUUCCUAAUAAAGUGCUUUGCUCUUGCUUUUAUUGACCAGCACAGAAAGCAAUGGAGGGUACCUCAUAGAAGUCUUUAAGAGUUUUACGAUGAAUGAAGUCACCAACCCAGAUAACAAAUGUUGUCAAGAAACAUCCUAGUGCCGCCACUUCAGUGUUUACAGUGGAUAUUUGUCUCAUAAAGUUGCUGUUUGCCUGUUUGCUGUUUUCAGGAUUUAUUACUGUAAUGCACACACACACACACACACACACACACACACACACACACACAGGGAUCAGGGUAGCAAAAGUUCUAGGUUGUAAAAAAUAAUUACAUUGGAAAUCCAAGGCAAAAACCUUUGAUUGUUCUCAGGUUAAACUGGCUGAGUUCCCCUGCACAACACACGUGGAGGGGUAGGACGAACACUGGCUGUGAGGUUCAGCAGGAGUUCCAGUCCUUUAGGAUAUAAGAGAUUUUCCUACAGUACUGCAGGACUACAGGCUGCCUACCUCUGGAUUUCCCGUUGUAGAAAAAAGUAGUUUGUUUAGGAAUUUGGGGUGUGUGCAAGUGUGGCUGGGUGUGUUUGUGUGAUCUUGGCGCUAAUGGAAACUCACCAGUGUGUAGUCCGUGUGGCUCACGCCUGUCGUGCGAGCCCCGAGAAAGCAGGAGCAGGAGGGGGGAUAUUUUUUCAAGGACAGGGUGGUUACAUAGUUCUAGGCCAGCCAGGACUACUACUUAGUGAGACUUUGGGAUUAUUGUUUUGUUUAGAUAGCCCUGGCUAUUUUAGAACUAUGUAGCCUGGGUUGGCCUUGAACUCACAGAGAUUCACCUCACCUGUUUCCUCCUCCUAAAUGCUGGGACUAAAGAUGAAAGGUGUCUGACCUGGCACCCUGGCAUGAGAGUAUGCAAAACAAAAACUAAGCAAAAACCCU